CCUGAACCCACCCAUAACAUUGCUGUCCCGCCCACCCCAAACUGGAAAAAUGUCGACAGCUGUCUUGUGGCUCUCACGGAACCUCGUAUCGAGGAAUACGGGGGUAGUAAGCCGUAACAUCGUCUUGAAACCGUCUAACACAGCGAGACUGAACCAAUGUCGAAAUGUGGUAUCAACAGCAAAUGGCGGUGUUCAACCGAAGCCGGAUAAAAUAUCCUUCGGCCUUAUCCGCAUGACUGCUGUCGUGAUUCCCUUCCUGUACGUGGGAACUCUGAUCAGCAAGAACUUUGCGGCUCUACUUGAGGAGCAUGACAUCUUCGUCCCCGAGGAUGAUGACGAUGACGACUGAACCUAGGGUGCUUUGCAAUAAUGAUGGCAUGCCACGCCACUAUGAGGAAGGAGAGAGAGAUGCCCCCUACAGGAGAAGAUUGCCCUCAUCGUGAUCCACCUCCCCAUCGCCUUUUUUCUCUCUCUUUCCUCCCUUUUAGUCCCACUUUCACCUCCUUGCCACGGAUUACUACAUAUUAUUUGAUAUCAUUGUGAGGUCACAGCACAGUCAGACUUCACUUUUGCAUGUGUCUUAUUAUUUACUCAAUAAAGAGUCUACGUGUGUAAAAAAUAAAUAAUAAAAAUAACAACACAUUU